GCAAAAACGUUUGUUUUGCAUCAGCAACAGUUGACACCGGAGUGUUGAUAAUUGUUGCUAGGCAACAAGGCUCAGUCUAACUACGGUGACGAAAGAGGUCCAUACUGAGGGCUGAACAUGCAGUCUGUCAGCUGAGCGGGAGGCCUGCAGGUGGGAUCUAGCUUCAGGGCCGGUGCUGGGGCCAGGGCCUGCCUCUUCUCUCCACCUCUGCAGGGGGGACAUGAAACACACAGGAUUCCAUUUCAGUGAUACCAGACACUAUCUUGCAUGGGAACUGUUCACUUUCAUGAUCUUCAGAAAAGCAGGACAAUGAGGACAGUCUGGGAGUUUGACCCAGUGUCCACGGACAAAUCCAGAGGAGCAGUUGUAGUUGCAGUUCAACACUAAAGGUUCUCCAACUGCUGCAUGGAUGACUUCAUGCUGUUUCUGCAGGGAGCUACUGCCCAUGGAAAAGGACCUCCCAGCCUUUGACCUGUCUUGCCAAACAGUGCAAGAGCUGCAAUGGGACCUCUCUAUGUGGAGGUACUGUGGUACCUCGCUGGAGUAGGACAGGGGCAGAGCUAACUCAGCCGUCAAGACAGCCUGUCCCCCCCUGCCCUCCUGGGACACACAGGGACAGUGAGGAGGGAGCAGCAAGCAUCUUUUGUCCUUUAGGUCAUUACUGUGUUGGAGGUGUUGCUUUGCCGUGCCCAGCAGGAACCUACGGACCCAAAGAGGCUUUCAAGGGGUGAGGGACUGCCCCCCCAGCAGG